CUCUUAGCGGUGGAUCAC
rnacentral:rRNA from 1 species